rnacentral:rRNA from 1 species
CCUACGGGAGGCAGCAGUGAGGAAUAUUGGUCAAUGGACGAGAGUCUGAACCAGCCAAGUAGCGUGAAGGAUGACUGCCCUAUGGGUUGUAAACUUCUUUUAUAAAGGAAUAAAACGGGGCACGUGUGCCUUUUUGCAUGUACUUUAUGAAUAAGGAUCGGCUAACUCCGUGCCAGCAGCCGCGGUAAUACGGAGGAUCCGAGCGUUAUCCGGAUUUAUUGGGUUUAAAGGGAGCGUAGAUGGGUUGUUAAGUCAGUUGUGAAAGUUUGCGGCUCAACCGUAAAAUUGCAAUUGAUACUGGCAGUCUUGAGUACAGUUGAGGUAAGCGGAAUUCGUGGUGUAGCGGUGAAAUGCUUAGAUAUCACGAAGAACCCCGAUUGCGAAGGCAGCUUACUAAACUGUGACUGACAUUGAUGCUCGAAAGUGUGGGUAUCGAACAGGAUUAGAUACCCUUGUAGUC